rnacentral:rRNA from 1 species
AGAGUUUGAUCCUGGCUCAGAAUGAACGCUGGCGGCGUGCCUAACACAUGCAAGUCGGAUGUGCCGCAAGGUGCAUGGCAGACGGGUGAGUAACGCGUGGGGAACCUACCUCUUUGUGGGGAAUAACGUUCCGAAAGGAAUGGUAAUACCGCAUGAGACCAUGGGCUGGGAUGCCGAUGGUGAAACCCGGGGACCGCAAGGCCUGGGGCAAGGAGAGGGUCCUGCGUCUGAUUAGCUAGUUGGCGGGGUAACGGCCCACCAAGGCGUCGAUCAGUAGCCGGCCUGAGAGGGUGAUCGGCCACACUGGAACUGAGACACGGUCCAGACUCCUACGGGAGGCAGCAGUGGGGAAUUUUGCGCAAUGGGCGAAAGCCUGACGCAGCAACGCCGCGUGGGUGAUGAAGGUCUUCGGAUCGUAAAACCCUGUCGUCAGGGACGAAGGUUGUGUUCCUAAUAGGGAUGCAGCUUGACGGUACCUGGAGAGGAAGCCCCGGCUAACUCUGUGCCAGCAGCCGCGGUAAUACAGAGGGGGCAAGCGUUAUUCGGAAUUAUUGGGCGUAAAGGGCGCGUAGGCGGUGGUUUAAGUGAGAUGUGUAAUCCCCGAGCUUAACUUGGGAACUGCAUCUCAGACUGGAUCGCUAGAGUGCUGGAGAGGGUGGUGGAAUUCCACGUGUAGCGGUGAAAUGCGUAGAGAUGUGGAGGAACACCAGUGGCGAAGGCGACCACCUGGACAGUAACUGACGCUGAGGCGCGAAAGUGUGGGGAGCAAACAGGAUUAGAUACCCUGGUAGUCCACGCUGUAAACGAUGAACACUUGGUGUGGUGGGAGUUGACCCCUGCCGUGCCGUAGCUAACGCGAUAAGUGUUCCGCCUGGGGAGUACGGUCGCAAGGCUGAAACUCAAAGGAAUUGACGGGGGCCCGCACAAGCGGUGGAGCAUGUGGUUUAAUUCGACGCAACGCGAAAAACCUUACCUACCCUUGACAUGUCCAGAAUCCUGCAGAGAUGCGGGAGUGCCCGAAAGGGAAUUGGAACACAGGUGCUGCAUGGCUGUCGUCAGCUCGUGUCGUGAGAUGUUGGGUUAAGUCCCGCAACGAGCGCAACCCUUAUCAUUAGUUGCUACGCAAGGGCACUCUAAUGAGACUGCCGGUGACAAACCGGAGGAAGGUGGGGAUGACGUCAAGUCCUCAUGGCCCUUAUGGGUAGGGCUUCACACGUCAUACAAUGGUCGGUACAGAGGGUUGCCAAGCCGCGAGGUGGAGCCAAUCCCAGAAAGCCGAUCGUAGUCCGGAUUGUUCUCUGCAACUCGAGAGCAUGAAGUCGGAAUCGCUAGUAAUCGCGGAUCAGCAUGUCGCGGUGAAUACGUUCCCGGGUCUUGUACACACCGCCCGUCACACCAUGGGAGUGGAAUCUGCCAGAAGUAGGUAGCCUAACCGCAAGGAGGGCGCUUACCACGGUGGGUUUCAUGACUGGGGUGAAGUCGUAACAAGGUA